UACGUAGGGGCCGAGCGUUGUCCGGAGUUACUGGGCGUAAAGCGCGCGCAGGCGGCUCGUCAAGCCUGACGUGAAAGCCCCCGGCUCAACCGGGGAGGGUCGUCGGGGACUGGCGGGCUUGAGGUCGGCAGGGGCUGGUGGAAUUCCCGGUGUAGUGGUGAAAUGCGUAGAGAUCGGGAGGAACACCCGUGGCGAAGGCGGCCAGCUGGGCCGGACCUGACGCUGAGGCGCGAAGGCGUGGGGAGCAAACAGG
rnacentral:rRNA from 1 species